CAUGUGUUAAAUUGUGUUUUCAUUCAGUUUUGACACAGUUUGAAUGACUGCCAUGUAUUUCCCCCUUUUCACACUGAUAAUUCUCUUUACGCAUCAUUUCUUCCUUCUAAUUUUUUUUUAUUAGUUUUCGAUAUGAAGAAAUGGACAUAAGAGAAAAAAACAAAGUUUCAUCAUUAUACAUUAUACGAGUAACAUUCACAACUGACUGAUAUAAAGGACAAGCAAAGGUUUACAGUUCAAUGGAGACAAUCGUUAUCAAGGAAAGUGUUACUGGAACUUAAAUAAUCAUCUCCAUCUACAAUGAUCCAGAUUGAAGAAGAAUCUUGGAAGACGUCGAUUUUUAAUCAAUGUUCGUAAAUUUUUGUCAAUACAGUGACUACGAAGUCUAGCACAAGAUUUCCAAUAUCGUUACUUGUAGAAAAUUUUAGCAGGAGUGGAAUAAUGUGCAGAGCGAUCUGUCAGGAUGAAACGGGGUUUUCGAUAUGAAGAAAUGGACAUAAGAGAAAAAAACAAAGUUUCAUCAUUAUACAUUAUACGAGUAACAUUCACAACUGACUGAUAUAAAGGACAAGCAAAGGUUUACAGUUCAAUGGAGACAAUCGUUGUCAAGGAAAGUGUCACUGGAACUUAAAUAAUCAUCUCCAUCUACAAUGAUCCAGAUUGAAAACGAAUCUUGGAAGACGUCGAUUUUUAACCAACGUUCCUAAAUUUUAGUCAAACAUACAAAUUUUCGUCAAAAUAGUGACAACGAUGUCUAUCAUUAGUUUUCCAAUAUCCAAUUCUAGCAAGAAUGGAAUAAUGUUUAAAGCGAUCUGUUAUGAUGAAAGAGUAGUAAAUGGAUGUCUAUCCGUUAGAUUGUAUUAAAACUGAAAGGAAAUGCAGUUAAUUUUAUUCAGUUUAGACCUAAUUUGAAUGAUCGUCAUGUAUUGACCUCAUUUUUCAGAUUGAUAACUCUCUUUGCGCAUCUAUAUCUUCUUGCUAAUUUUUAUCUUAUAACUUCUCAAUUAGUAUAAACUGACAUAAGUUGAAAAAACAAUCUUUACCAUUUUGAGUAAUCAACUGUGUCGUAUAUAAGAUAAGCAAAAGUUUAGAGUCCAUUGGAGACAUUCCUUCAUCAGAGAAACUGACAAUGGGACUUAAUUAAACUCUCCAUCCACAAUGACCAGUUUACCAGUUAUUUAUAUAACUCAAUUGAAACAAAUAUAUCUAAAAAGAUUAUGGUAUGGAUUAUGUUUGGUUUAAUUGCAGAAUGAAAACCAAAUUAUGGAGAUGCCGAUUAUCAUUAACAGGGAUGGAUUAAGUGCGUGCCAUUUCGUUAAAUUGUAUCAGAACUGAAAGUAAUAAAUGGUUAUUAUUAUUA